AGUUGAGCAAGCUGCUAAAGGAAGCUCAGGAUUAAAUAUUGAACAGAAUGGUUCCUGGAAUAACUAAAAGAAGGCAGAUAACAAACACUGCCAGUUCCCCUCACUGUCAUCAACACUGAAGUACUUUGCUGAAGCAAAAUGUUAAGAAGCUGAGACUGGACAUUUGAAGACUUAAAAGUUACUGAAUUUUCUGCCCAACUGGAUGUGGGAAAAGAUGCAGAAGAUAAUGCUCAUGUCUUACUUGUUCUCAAGAGCUCAAUAAGAGAUGAAAAAA